rnacentral:rRNA from 1 species
CAGCCGCCGCGGUAAAACGAAGGGGGCUAGCGUUACUCGGAAUUACUGGGCGUAAAGGGCGCGUAGGCGGCACGAUUAGUCAGGCGUGAAAUUCCUGGGCUCAACCUGGGGACUGCGCUUAAGACUGGAGUGCUUGAGGAUGGAAGAGGGUUGUGGAAUUCCCAGUGUAGAGGUGAAAUUCGUAGAUAUCGGGAAGAACACCGGUGGCGAAGGCGGCAACCUGGUCCAUUACUGACGCUGAGGCGCGAUAGCGUGGGGAGCAAACAGGAUUAGAUACCCCUGUAGUCCCUGUCUCUUAUAC